rnacentral:rRNA from 1 species
CCUACGGGAGGCAGCAGUCGGGAAUAUUGGACAAUGGGGGAAACCCUGAUCCAGCCAUGCCGCGUGUGUGAAGAAGGCCCUAGGGUUGUAAAGCACUUUUAGUAGUGAGGAAGGCUCAGUAGUUAAUACCUACUGGGAUUGACGUUAGCUACAGAAAAAGCACCGGCUAAUUUCGUGCCAGCAGCCGCGGUAAUACGAAAGGUGCAAGCGUUAAUCGGAAUUACUGGGCGUAAAGCGCGCGUAGGCGGCUUGGUAAGUUGGAUGUGAAAGCCCCGGGCUCAACCUGGGAACUGCAUCCAAAACUGCCUAGCUAGAGUAUGGUAGAGGAUGGCGGAAUUUCCUGUGUAGCGGUGAAAUGCGUAGAUAUAGGAAGGAACAUCAGUGGCGAAGGCGGCCAUCUGGACCAAUACUGACGCUGAGGUGCGAAAGCGUGGGGAGCA